AUCAACUGCUCGGGCCGUCUCGGCGGCGCCGAAAUCGCGCGCAUGGAAUGGUAUCGCGAAGGCCGCGUGCCGCUGCACACGCUGCGCGCCGAUGUCGAUUACGGGGUUGCGACCGCGUUCACGACGUUCGGUACCUGCGGCGUGAAGGUCUGGAUCUUCAAGGGCGAAAUCCUGGGCCAUGACCCGAUGGCGCAGGACCGGAUCAUGAUGGAGGCUCAAACCUCCGGCGUCC
rnacentral:misc_RNA from 1 species